rnacentral:lncRNA from 1 species
AUAUACGUUCUUCUCUAAGCUCUAAACUCUAUCCCAAAACUCUGCUAAAAUUCUCACUCAAGCACUUCAUUUCUGUUGAAGCAGAGUACUGACUUGAGCAUCGGAGGGUCUUGCCAGAGCACCCCCAACUCCGGUUUAGACUUCCCUUGCAGGUCUUGACGGUGUCCGCGGUCAUCUCAACUCCAGCAACUCUGACUUCGGUAGAAUUUUGCACCAACAGAAUUGGCGCACCAUGG